GCCGGCAGCUAGCUCUCUGCAACUCUCACAUGGUUGCCCACUGAGCUAAGCAGGACUGUGCCCGCUUAGUACCUGGAUGGGAGACCACAUGGGAAAGCUAGGUUGCUGCCGGAA
rnacentral:rRNA from 1 species